rnacentral:rRNA from 1 species
GCCCAGACUCCUACGGGAGGCAGCAGUGAGGAAUAUUGCACAAUGGGGGAAACCCUGAUGCAGCGACGCCGCGUGAGUGAAGAAGUAUUUCGGUAUGUAAAGCUCUAUCAGCAGGGAAGAAGAUGACGGUACCUGACUAAGAAGCCCCGGCUAACUACGUGCCAGCAGCCGCGGUAAUACGUAGGGGGCAAGCGUUAUCCGGAUUUACUGGGUGUAAAGGGAGCGUAGACGGCAGGGCAAGUCUGGAGUGAAAGCCCGGGGCCCAACCGCGGGACUGCUUUGGAAACUGCCAUGCUAGAGUGCUGGAGAGGUAAGCGGAAUUCCUAGUGUAGCGGUGAAAUGCGUAGAUAUUAGGAGGAACACCAGUGUCGAAGGCGGCUUACUGGACAGUAACUGACGUUGAGGCUCGAAAGCGUGGGGAGCAAACAGGAUUAGAUACCCGCGUA